rnacentral:rRNA from 1 species
UUGCAGGCUGCAACUCGCCUGCAUGAAGUCGGAAUUGCUAGUAAUCGCAGAUCAGCAUGCUGCGGUGAAUACGUUCCCGGGCCUUGUACACACCGCCCGUCAAACCAUGAGAGUUGGCAACACCCGAAGUCGGUAGUCUAACCGCAAGGAGGACGCCGCCGAAGGUGGGGUUGAUGAUUAGGGUUAAGUCGUAACAAGGUAUC